rnacentral:rRNA from 1 species
CGGGAUGCAGCAGUGGGGAAUAUUGCACAAUGGGCGCAAGCCUGAUGCAGCGACGCCGCGUGAGGGAUGACGGCCUUCGGGUUGUAAACCUCUGUUAGCAUCGAAGAAGCGAAAGUGACGGUAGGUGCAGAGAAAGCGCCGGCUAACUACGUGCCAGCAGCCGCGGUAAUACGUAGGGCGCGAGCGUUGUCCGGAAUUAUUGGGCGUAAAGAGCUUGUAGGCGGUUGGUCGCGUCUGCUGUGAAAGGCUGGGGCUUAACCCUGGUUUUGCAGUGGGUACGGGCUAACUAGAGUGCAGUAGGGGAGACUGGAAUUCCUGGUGUAGCGGUGGAAUGCGCAGAUAUCAGGAGGAACACCGAUGGCGAAGGCAGGUCUCUGGGCUGUAACUGACGCUGAGAAGCGAAAGCAUGGGGAGCGAACAGGAUUAGAUACCCGCGU